rnacentral:rRNA from 1 species
GAUAGCUGGUUGCCUGCAAAACGAAUCUAAGUUCUCCCUUAACCUCUUUCCCCCACAGACUAAACCCAACUAAAAUGUGAUAGUUAAGGACUAUUUAAAGGGGGUACAGCCCCUUUAAAAAAGGACACAACCUUCAUCAGCGGAUAACCCCAUGUACUCAACCCUGUGGGCCUUAAAGCAGCCACCCCUAAAGAUUGCGUCAAAGCUCCACCAACUAAAAACCCCAAAAACCAAUGCGACUCCCUACACCUCUAGCAAGCCAACCUAUAACAAUAGAUGAAUCAAUGCUAGAACGAGUAACCAGGGCACUAUGCCCCCCCAAGCGCCAGCCUACACACCAUUAACAGCAAAACCUCAAUAACAACCACCCCUUCCCCCACCAUUGAAUACACCCUGUCAAUCCAACUCAGGGGCGCACACUGGAGUGAUCAAAGUCUACAAAAGGAACUCGGCAAACCUAAGACCCGACUGUUUACCAAAAACAUAGCCUUCAGCCAGACAAGUAUUGAAGGUGAUGCCUGCCCAGUGACAUCAUGUUUAACGGCCGCGGUAUCCUAACCGUGCAAAGGUAGCGCAAUCAAUUGUCCCAUAAAUCGAGACCUGUAUGAAUGGCUAAACGAGGUCUUAACUGUCUCCUGUAGACAAUCGGUGAAACUGAUCUCUCUGUACAAAAGCAGAGAUAAACACAUAAGACGAGAAGACCCUGUGGAACUUCAAAAUCAAUAGCCACCUCACUCAACUCACAAACCCACUUCGGGCUCACCACCUAAGACACUGGCUAACAUUUUUAGGU